UUUUCUUUAGCUUAAUCCUUAGAGCACUAGUUUGAAGCACUAGGGGUACCAUACGGUAGGAGAAA
rnacentral:tRNA from 1 species